rnacentral:lncRNA from 1 species
ACAAGAUAACAAUUGCUUGCUAAGUCAUUAAAACCUAAAAACCAGGGCACUAAGUUGGUUUAGAAAUUUGACAUUAAAAAUAUAAACAUCACUUAUCAGUACAUAUUCAACCAAUGGUGCAGAAGCUUCCUUGCAAUUGCCCCGUCUUAAAACAGAAAAUAAUUCAAACACAUGUAGAGUCCUUACUUUACAAAAUAUUCUUUGGUAUAAAAGUAAGAAGUAAGAUCAUAAACAUUCACCACCAUGUAGUAAGGAAACCGAGUGCACACAGAGUCGCAUAAGAGGCAACUAGAGGAAGGACACAGAAUGGCAAUUCUCAAUUUCAUUAUCCUUAAUUAUAAGAGAAGAAAGAAAAAGGACGCAAUUUCGAGGAGGCCAGGUCUCAAAGGAAGCAUCAGUUUUUUCUCCUUGAAACAAUCUACUGGAGCUUUCAUGUAAGUAGGGUUCUUUAUGGGCUACAAGAUACUCAUUGAACGCCCACCUAAAGCCUACUCAUUAUUUUAUGUCCAUAUUUACAGCAGAUACACAUCUUAAAUGCACUGCCAAGAAUUAGGACAAUCUUUAUCAGUCUCUUCACAGGCUCAAAAAUGGUAACUACGUACAAUGAGAUUUCAAUAGCAACACACCCUGUCAAGAAACAAAAGCUGUAUGAUUUCAUUAGGCACAAAAAGCAACCAAGGUCCAAAUUAGAGAAAUUACAGAGAGGCAUAUCAUAUAAGCACCCCAAGAAUGUUUAAGGAAAAAGAUCAAAUAAAAAAAACCAAACUGUCCGAAUAGAAAUAACUGAUUUUGAGGAAUGAUAAACCUAAGACGAGAACUCCACAAUUAGAUUUUUUUUUUUUUGGCUUAUAAAACUCCAGAUAAGCAAGUUAAUAUCAGCUCUAGCAAUUGAGUAUCACAUAGCCAGCACAACAUUACUUACAAGAUAACAAUUGCUUGCUAAGUCAUUAAAACCUAAAAACCAGGGCACUAAGUUGGUUUAGAAAUUUGACAUUAAAAAUAUAAACAUCACUUAUCAGUACAUAUUCAACCAAUGGUGCAGAAGCUUCCUUGCAAUUGCCCCGUCUUAAAACAGAAAAUAAUUCAAACACAUGUAGAGUCCUUACUUUACAAAAUAUUCUUUGGUAUAAAAGUAAGAAGUAAGAUCAUAAACAUUCACCACCAUGUAGUAAGGAAACCGAGUGCACACAGAGUCGCAUAAGAGGCAACUAGAGGAAGGACACAGAAUGGCAAUUCUCAAUUUCAUUAUCCUUAAUUAUAAGAGAAGAAAGAAAAAGGACGCAAUUUCGAGGAGGCCAGGUCUCAAAGGAAGCAUCAGUUUUUUCUCCUUGAA